CGUUUUCGUCGGUGUGAUAUAUAUUCGGAAAGUUUUCAGAAGCCACCUACACAGGUGAGUGUAGCAACCCUCGUGUGUAUAAUAAUCUCAAUAUCUCGAACUGCUGAAUACUUGCUCCAAAGACUCUCAUUCAGCCGAGCUUUCUUGAAGUUUUGGGGUUGCAGAUGCCAAGAAUAAGCCUCUACCUGCCAGGUGGCUGUAGUUGAAACUAGAAUUACAACUAUUCAGUUGGCCUUAAACGAAUCUUGAAACUCGAAUUCAAAGAACGGGAAAGUCUGGAAGGAGCGCUGGGAAAGCUGGCAAAAAAUUCGCAUCUGCUUUAAUUUCACACGAAAGUCUAUUAAUGCUGUACAUUAUUAUUAUCACAAAUACCUUUAAAUUUAAAUACAGAAAUCUAUUUUGAAUAAAUUGCCAUUUUAAUAAAUCU